rnacentral:rRNA from 1 species
AUUGAACGCUGGCGGCAGGCCUAACACAUGCAAGUCGAGCGAGCGGCGGACGGGUGAGUAAUGUCUGGGAAACUGCCCGAUGGAGGGGGUUAACUACUGGAAACGGUACCUAAUACCGCAUACCUUCGGUUGUCCCCAUAUGGGAUUGGCUAGUAGGUGGGGUAACGGCUCACCUAGGCGACGAUCCCUAGCUGGUAUGAGAGGAUGAACCGCCACACUGGUACGGUGACCCGGUCCGGACUCCUACGGGGGGGAGCAGUGGUGAAUAGUGCACAAGGUGCGAAAGCCUGAUGAAGCCAUGCCUGGUGUAGGAAGAAGGCCUUCGGGUUGUAAAGUACUUUCAGCGGGGAGGAGUUAACCGCAGAAGAAGGACCGGCUAAAUCCGUGCCAGCAGCCGCGGUAAUAC